rnacentral:rRNA from 1 species
CGCAAUGGACGAAAGUCUGACGGAGCAACGCCGCGUGAACGAAGAAGGCCUUCGGGUCGUAAAGUUCUGUUGUUAGGGAAGAACAAGUACGAGAGUAACUGCUCGUACCUUGACGGUACCUAACCAGAAAGCCACGGCUAACUACGUGCCAGCAG